AUUGAACGCUGGCGGCAUGCUUUACACAUGCAAGUCGAACGGUAACAGGCCGCAAGGUGCCGACGAGUGGCGAACGGGUGAGUAAUGCAUCGGAACGUGCCCAGUCGUGGGGGAUAACUACUCGAAAGAGUAGCUAAUACCGCAUACGAUCUAUGGAUGAAAGCGGGGGACCGUAAGGCCUCGCGCGAUUGGAGCGGCCGAUGUCAGAUUAGGUAGUUGGUGGGGUAAAGGCUCACCAAGCCAACGAUCUGUAGCUGGUCUGAGAGGACGACCAGCCACACUGGGACUGAGACACGGCCCAGACUCCUACGGGAGGCAGCAGUGGGGAAUUUUGGACAAUGGGCGCAAGCCUGAUCCAGCAAUGCCGCGUGCAGGAAGAAGGCCUUCGGGUUGUAAACUGCUUUUGUACGGAACGAAACGGCUCUGGUUAAUACCCGGGGCUAAUGACGGUACCGUAAGAAUAAGCACCGGCUAACUACGU
rnacentral:rRNA from 1 species